rnacentral:rRNA from 1 species
GUAGUCAUAUGCUUGUCUCAAAGAUUAAGCCAUGCAUGUCUAAGUAUAAGCAAUUAUACCGCGAAACUGCGAAUGGCUCAUUAUAUAAGUUAUCGUUUAUUUGAUAGUACCUUACUACUUGGAUAACCGUGGUAAUUCUAGAGCUAAUACAUGCUAAAAAUCCCGACUUCGGAAGGGAUGUAUUUAUUAGAUUAAAAAGCAAUGCCCUUCGGGGCUCACUGGUGAUUCAUGAUAACUCCUCGAAUCGCAUGGCCUUGUGCCGGCGAUGGUUCAUUCAAAUUUCUUCCCUAUCAACUCUCGAUGUUUGGGUAUUGGCCAAACAUGGUUGCAACGGGUAACGGGGAAU